rnacentral:rRNA from 1 species
GACGAACGCUGGCGGCGUGCUUAACACAUGCAAGUCGAACGAAGUGGCGGAUGGGCGAGUAACACGUGAGGAACCUGCCUUUCACAGGGGAAUAACACUGGGAAACCAGUGCUAAUACCGCAUAGUGAAAGAUGGCCUCGCGCCUGAUUAGCUAGUAGGUGAGGUAACGGCGCACCUAGGUGAUGAUCAGUAGCCGGACUGACGGUUGAUCGGCCGAAUUGGGACUGAGACGCGGCCCAGACGACUACGGGAGGCAGCAUUGGGGAAUAUUGGGCAAUGGCGCAAGCCUGACCCAGCAACGCCGCGUGAAGAAAGACGGUCUUCGGAUUGUAAACUUCUUUAGACAGGGACGCGGUACCUGUACAAUAAGCCACGGCUAACUACGUGCCAGCCGCCGCGGUAAUUC